AUACGGAGGGUGCAAGCGUUAUUCGGAAUCACUGGGCGUAAAGGGUGCGUAGGCGGUUUGAUAAGUCUGAUGUGAAAUCCUAUGGCUCAACCAUAGAACUGCAUUGGAAACUGUCAGACUAGAAUACUGAAGGGGCAGAUGGAAUUAGUGGUGUAGGGGUAAAAUCCGUAGAUAUCACUAGGAAUACCGAAAGCGAAAGCGAUCUGCUGGGAAGUUAUUGACGCUGAGGCACGAAAGCGUGGGGAGCAAACAGGAUUAGAAACCCUAGUAGUCC
rnacentral:rRNA from 1 species